AUGGACGCAAGUCUGAUGGAGCAACGCCGCGUGAGUGAAGAAGGGUUUCGGCUCGUAAAGCUCUGUUGGUAGUGAAGAAAGAUAGAGGUAGUAACUGGCCUUUAUUUGACGGUAAUUACUUAGAAAGUCACGGCUAACUACGUGCCAGCAGCCGCGGUAAUACGUAGGUGGCAAGCGUUGUCCGGAUUUAUUGGGCGUAAAGCGAGUGCAGGCGGUUCAAUAAGUCUGAUAUGAAAGCCUUCGGCUCAACCGGAGAAUUGCAUCAGAAACUGUUGAACUUGAGUGCAGAAGAGGAGAGUGGAACUCCAUGUGUAGCGGUGGAAUGCGUAGAUAUAUGGAAGAACACCAGUGGCGAAGGCGGCUCUCUGGUCUGCAACUGACGCCGAGGCUCGAAAGCACGGGUAGCGAACAGGAUUAGAUACCCUGGUAGUCCAUGCCGUAAACGACGAGUGCUAAGUGUUGGGAGGUUUCCGCCUCUCAGUGCUGCAGCUAACGCAUUAAGCACUCCGCCUGGGGAGUACGACCGCAAGGUUGAAACUCAAAGGAAUUGACGGGGGCCCGCACAAGCGGUGGAGCAUGU
rnacentral:rRNA from 1 species